CCUACGGGGGGCAGCAGUCGAGAAUCAUUCACAAUGGGGGAAACCCUGAUGGUGCGACGCCGCGUGGGGGAAUGAAGGUCUUCGGAUUUUAAACCCCUGUCAUGUGGGAGCAAAUUAAAAAGAUAGUACCACAAGAGGAAGAGACGACUAACUCUGUGCCAGCAGCCGCGGUAAUACAGAGGUCUCAAGCGUUGUUCGGAAUCACUGGGCGUAAAGCGUGCGUAGGCUGUUUCGUAAGUCGUGUGUGAAAGGCGCGGGCUCAACCCGCGGACGGCACAUGAUACUGCGAGACUAGAGUAAUGGAGGGGGAACCGGAAUUCUCGGUGUAGCAGUGAAAUGCGUAGAUAUCGAGAGGAACACUCGUGGCGAAGGCGGGUUCCUGGACAUUAACUGACGCUGAGGCACGAAGGCCAGGGGAGCGAAAGGGAUUAGAUACACGGGUAGUC
rnacentral:rRNA from 1 species